rnacentral:rRNA from 1 species
CUACGGGAUGCAGCAGGCGCGAAACCUUUACAAUGCACGAAAGUGUGAUAAGGGGAUUCCAAGUGCUCAUACAUUGUAUGGGCUUUUGCCAAGAGUAAAUAUCUUGGCGAAUAAGUGGUGGGCAAGACUGGUGCCAGCCGCCGCGGUAACACCAGCGCCACAAGUGGGAUUCAGAUUUAUUGGGCCUAAAGCGUCCGUAGCCGGUUAUAUAAAUCCUUUGUGAAAUUGUUGGGCUCAACCUAACAACGUGCAUAGGACACUGUAUAACUAGGGACCGGGAGGGGUGUGAGGUAUUCCUAGGGGAGCGGUAAAAUGUUAUAAUCCUUGGAGGACCACCUGUGGCGAAGGCGUCACACUAGAACGGAUCCGACGGUGAGGGGCGAAAGCCAGGGGAGCGAUCCGGAUUAGAUACCCCGGUAGUC